rnacentral:rRNA from 1 species
AGGCGAUGAAAGUUUUCUUGCGGGAAGAUUUGAGCCAUUGGUGAGAUACCACUCUAACAAUGCUAGGAUUCUAACCCUAUGUCGUUAUCCGGCUAGGGGACAGUUUCAGGUGGUCAGUUUGACUGGGGCGGUCGCCUCCUAAAAGGUAACGGAGGCGUGCAAAGGUUCCCUCAGGCUGGUUGGAAAUCAGUCGUAGAGUGUAAAGGCAUAAGGGAGCUUGAUUGUGAGACCUACAAGUCGAACAAAGACGAAAGUCGGCCUUAGUGAUCCGGCGGUACCGAGUGGAAGGGCCGUCGCUCAACGGAUAAAAGUUACUCUAGGGAUAAC